GUGGUGGGCCCAUAUUGGCUUCAAUGCUGAGCUGUGUGCACUGUAGCUAAGGUCCACCACUGACAGUGAUACUGGUUCCUGCCGACAGGGCUUGUCAAGAGGUUGAGUUUCCUGUGCGAUGGUUUCAUACAAG